AACGCACCUUGCGCCCUUUGGCAUUCCGAAGGGCACGCCUGUUUGAGUGUCGUGAACUCCUCCACCCUCCACCUUUUUCGGAAGGUGUUGGGCUGGGAUUUGGGAGCUUGCGGGUCCCUGGCCGAUCCGCUCUCCUUGAAUACAUUAGCGAAGCCCUUGCGGCCUUGGUGUGAUAGUCAUCUACGCCUCGGCUUAGCGAACAUAGGGGACUUGCUUCCAACCGUCUCGAAAGGGACAACUACUACGAACUUGACCUCAAAUCAGGCGGGACUACCCGCUGAACUUAA
rnacentral:misc_RNA from 1 species